CUAAGUAAUUCAAGGGAAUAUCUUCCAUAAUGAUGCAUUCAUGUCUGAGUGGGUGGAUGGCUGGGGUUUCUGAAAGUAUGACCACCAUGAGACACCUGGACCAGGAAAGGUAAAGCUGGCAAAAAUGGCUGCUGUUUCAGAAGUACAAAACUAGGUUUCAUUCCAGGGUCUUUCCAGUGAGGGCAGUUAUUGGCAUUGGAUCAUCCUUGCUCUGAAAUAUUUUACCUGUAUUUCUGUGCCUAGGUGUGAAGGCUGACUCACAUAUUUCUGGAGUUCCACUGGGUGCUUUGCUUCCUUUCUCCGAGAAAAGCCACUGAUAAUAAUAGAGCCACCACAGAGGCUGUACAAAUUGACAUGAGACAGCACAUCAUUUAGAUAUA